UAGCAGUGAAUGGAUUUUAAUAGGCUGUAUAUCCCCCCCACCUCCUCCCUCUAAAGAGCCUCCGCUGCUACUGUCUCUCCCCUAUAAGGAGAAGCCACACACACACACUCACAGAUAAGAGACAGUCAACAAAGGAUUCCCCGAGAAUAAGGCAGAAGACAGGCACACAAACAGAGACAGCUUGAGCUCUGACAUCUCUCCCAGCAAGUUCUUUGAAGCAGAGACACAUCAUUUACAACACGGAGGAUUUCAGCUUCCUCUAUGGGCUGCACAUAAUCUCCUGCUGCCGGAGUACAAUGGGGAUGCCUGAACAUCAGAGGGUUAAAGACUGAGACCUUAGGAACUGGGAUUACAUCUGGGGACCCUGACAGGCACGAGGAGCACUUAUUUAUUUUUAAGGCCAUUUAUGGAUCUGGCACGUUUCUCAAUGUAAGGGACAAAUGGAUUUACAUGCUUCGCAGCCAUAGGACUAAGAGGGGCAGCAGUGGUAUAUUAAAUAAAUAUGAUGAAGAAAAGUCGGAGUGUCCUAACGGUUUCUAGUGAUGAGAAAUCAAAAGACGACACGGGAAGAUACAGCAGAUCAUACACACCCACCAGCACCCUGGGAGUGGAGCUGCGCAGGGCUAGAAGGAGACCUUCCUACACUUUGCAGGUCCCACCCUUUAGGCCCGGGGAGAGAGCCCGAUCACCUGACUAUGACAACAUGCAGAGACCCACCACCCUGCCCCUGCGGAUCCCUCCUCGAAUAUCAAUCACCCAUUCUGAUUGUGACAGGUAGGAGAAACAUGGAUACCUUAUUACCUCAUAAUCGAAUAGAUGUGACCUCACUACAGGU